AUUGAACGCUGGCGGCAUGCUUUACACAUGCAAGUCGAACGGUAACAGGUUAAGCUGACGAGUGGCGAACGGGUGAGUAAUGCAUCGGAACGUGCCCGGUCGUGGGGGAUAACGCAGCGAAAGCUGCGCUAAUACCGCAUACGAUCUGAGGAUGAAAGCGGGGGACCGUAAGGCCUCGCGCGAUCGGAGCGGCCGAUGUCAGAUUAGGUAGUUGGUGGGGUAAAGGCUCACCAAGCCGACGAUCUGUAGCUGGUCUGAGAGGACGACCAGCCACACUGGGACUGAGACACGGCCCAGACUCCUACGGGAGGCAGCAGUGGGGAAUUUUGGACAAUGGGCGCAAGCCUGAUCCAGCAAUGCCGCGUGCAGGAAGAAGGCCCUCGGGUUGUAAACUGCUUUUGUACGGAGCGAAAAGGUCUUCCCUAAUACGGGAGGCUGAUGACGGUACCGUAAGAAUAAGCACCGGCUAACUACGUGCCAGCCGCCGCGGUAACAC
rnacentral:rRNA from 1 species